rnacentral:misc_RNA from 1 species
AAGGUUGCACUGUAAUUUCCUUUCUCUCCCUCUCAAUAAAAGAAAAAAGAAGCUAACCUAUUUCUUGCUGGUCCAGGGAGUACCUUCGUUGGUUCCCUAUGUGCCUUGGUAUAAAAAUAGGGUGUUGUGAACUUCCAUCAACUUUUCUCCUUUAUCAGUUUCAUCUCCUUGGGAACACCUGUUUCUCUUAGACAUCACAUCAUUAUAGAAAUAUUCUCAAUUUAAU